GACGAACGCUGGCGGCGUGCUUAACACAUGCAAGUCGAACGGAAAGGCCCUGCUUUUGUGGGGUGCUCGAGUGGCGAACGGGUGAGUAACACGUGAGUAACCUGCCCUUGACUUUGGGAUAACUUCAGGAAACUGGGGCUAAUACCGGAUAGGAGCUCCUGCUGCAUGGUGGGGGUUGGAAAGUUUCGGCGGUUGGGGAUGGACUCGCGGCUUAUCAGCUUGUUGGUGGGGUAGUGGCUUACCAAGGCUUUGACGGGUAGCCGGCCUGAGAGGGUGACCGGCCAAAUGGGGACGGGGAUACGGCCCAGACUCCUACGGGAGGCAGCAGGGGGAAUAUUGCACAAUGGGCGGAAGCCUGAUGCAGCAACGCCGCGUGCGGGAUGACGGCCUUCGGGUUGUAAACCGCUUUCGCCUGUGACGAAGCGUGAGUGACGGUAAUGGGUAAAGAAGCACCGGCUAACUACGUG
rnacentral:rRNA from 1 species